AUGGGUGCCAGGCUCAGGGUGCCCUCUGCCCACUGCCCCCCUCCUCCCAGCUUCGCCCCCACCCGUGCCUCAGUUUCCCUUUGUGGGUUGAUGCCCCCAUGGGAGGGGAUUUUUUUUUUUUGGGGUGGGGGCCACCGAGCCGCUGUCCCCGUGCCCGGCUGGCACGGCCGCGGGGCCGGGCUGCCCUCCAAGCAGGUGAAGGGGGAGCCCGGCUCCAGCCCAAGUAGGGGCAGGAAAAUCUUUAUAGGGUGGGGGCCGCAGCCAGCUGGGGGUCCCGGGGGGCACCCCCAAAAUAACCCCACAGCGCUGCGCACCCACCGGGGGGGCACCCCCAGACCCCUUUUUUGGGACCUGCCCCAGCCCCUGGUGUGGAUCUGCCCCGCUCAGGGGCAAGAGGAAACGCUGAGACCCUACAAUAAACAAAGGGGUGGGGUUUUUGGGGUGUUUUCUUUAUUUUUUUAUUGUUUUGUUGUCCCACUGCGCCAUUCGGGGAAGGGUGCCAGGCGGGGCCGGUGGCCACCUCGCCGGGGCCACUGCCAGCCCCCUUUGGGUGCCAGCCGAGCCCCGGAGCUGCAGCCUCAGCACAUCUGCGCGCCCGCGCCCCGCUUUAUGGCCCCGAUAAAAACCGAUUCGGGCCAUAAAGAGGGGAGGGGAGGAAAAAAAAAAAAAAACAAAAAAAACAUAAAAACAAAAAAAACAACACUUUGGCUGCGGGGGGGGCACGCCAACUCGCGCCGUGCGCCGCAGCGAGUGGCACCGUGCCCCGGCGCACCCGGGGGGCAAUGGGGUCGGGUCUCAGCCCCACAUCACCCCCAGCCCCAUACCGGCCCCAUUGCUGGGAGGGGGCUGGGGGGGGGGAUUUAUUUGCCCCCCCCCUCCCUGCCCAGCUGUCCCUCCCCAGGCAGGGAUUUUUCCAGCGAGCUGUUUACCACGAUGCGAGCUGGGGGCGAGCCACCGCUGCGCCCUACAAGGACUCAACACCGAGCCCCCUGCAAUGGGACACUGCUGCCAGCACCGGGAGCGGCUCGGCCGUGGCUAAAUUGGGCUAAAUUGAGCUAUUUUUGGAAAAAAAGGGCUCGAAGCCCCUCUGUGCCCUGCCAAGGGGGACCCCGCGCACAAGGCAAGGGGUUGGGGGUCUCGCGUCCCCUGGAGCCACCCCGAGGGCUGGAGCGCUGUCCCUCUGUCUGUCCGUCCCCGUGUCCGUCCCGCACGAUGCCACCCACCCUGUGCCCCCCCCACCCCACCCUGGGGGCUGCUGUGGGAUUUGGGGCUCCGUUGCCCCCCCCCCAUCCCAAGCAGAAGGAACCAGUGGGGGUCCCAAGGGGUCCCAAGAGGCGCUCCCCACUGCGCACCGGGGCGAGCAGGGAUGGGGCUGGGGCCGAGCCGAGGCACCAAGGGGACAAAAUAAAUUUGGGGGGGCCCAGAGCGGAGCCCCCCCCAUGCACCCCCCGCUCCUGA
rnacentral:lncRNA from 2 species